GCUGAACCUUUAACUGUGGGUGGUACCGUUGGGUUCUACGUUCUGCUGAAUCUUUAACUGUGGGUGGUACCGUUGGGUUCUACGUUCUGCUGAAUCUUUAACUGUGGGUGGUACCGUUGGGUUCUAAGUUCUGCUGAAUCUUUAACUGUGGGUGGUACCGUUGGGUUCUAAGUUCUGCUGAAUCUUUAACUGUAGGUGGUACCGUUGGGUUCUAAGUUCUGCUGAACCUUUAACUGUGGGUGGUACCGUUGGGUUCUACGUUCUGCUGAAUCUUUAACUGUGGGUGGUACCGUUGGGUUCUAAGUUCUGCUGAAUCUGUAACUGUAGGUGGUACCGUUGGGUUCUAUGUUGCUGAACCUUUAACUGUGGGUGGUACCGUUAGGUUCUACGUUCUGCUGAAUCUUUAACUGUGGGUGGUACCGUUGGGUUCUAAGUUCUGCUGAAUCUUUAACUGUGGGUGGUACCGUUGGGUUCUAAGUUCUGCUGAAUCUUUAGCUGUGGGUGGUACCGUUAGGUUCUAAGUUCUGCUGAAUCUUUAACUGUAGGUGGUACCGUUGGGUUCUAAGUUCUGCUGAAUAUUUAACUGUAGGUGGUACCGUUGGGUUCUAAGUUCUGCUGAAUCUUUAACUGUGGGUGGUACCGUUAGGUUCUAAGUUCUGCUGAAUCUGUAACUGUAGGUGGUACCGUUAGGUUCUACGUUCUGCUGAACCUUUAACUGUGGGUGGUACCGUUAGGUUCUAAGUUCUGCUGAAUCUUUAACUGUGGGUGGUACCGUUGGGUUCUAAGUUCUGCUGAAUCUUUAACUGUGGGUGGUAUCGUUGGGUUCUAAGUUCUGCUGAAUCUUUAACUGUAGGUGGUACCGUUGGGUUCUAAGUUCUGCUGAAUCUUUAACUGUGGGUGGUACCGUUGGGUCCAGUCAUGCCAGCAGAACAUCAG